rnacentral:rRNA from 11 species
GAUUUUGGAGUAAAUGCCUUAAAGGCACCAGAUCCCAUCUAAUCUUGGGAGCUAAGCAGGACUAGCCCUGGUUAAUAUUUUGUUGGGAGACCAUUAAUGAAUAUCACGUGCUGGAGGCU